rfam:Erinaceus europaeus unplaced genomic scaffold scaffold00719, whole genome shotgun sequence
CUGCAUGUUUCCAAGGUUUAUAGCUGGUCAUUCGUAGUCAUGGGAUCUCCAACUGUAUGUAAGAAUAACCUGAAGAGACUUUGACAGCACAGGUCAACAUAAUACCUGUAGCUGCCACUCAUCUUCCUUAUAUUU